AGCCUGAAUCCGAAUUGUCACCGUAUGGUGCGCGUGCCCCUUGAGGGCUAGGAUUUGGGCUUUUU
rnacentral:sRNA from 12 species